rnacentral:misc_RNA from 1 species
AUUGGCCUGUGUUGGCGCGUUGGAUCCCUGCCUAGGCAGCGACCACGUUGCACGCAGGCCUCUUCAGUUGUUGGCCCGAGUAAGUCUCGGCCAUUCUCGGUUUCUCGUGUUGGAUACCUAUUGGGAUGGCAUUUUUCGGUCGGAUAUGAUGAGCUUCCGCCUUUUGCUGUGUUCCCCUCGGGAAUGCGGUGUCGGGCGGACCUCGAAGCAUGCUUCGUGAGCCACGGCCCUUGCACGGUUUUGUGCUUCGGCUGUUGGUCCAUGCUGUUGUGCGCGGUCUCUGGGAUACGGAAUAUUGUGCGGGCACGAGGUCCUCGGACUCUAUCAUGCCCAAACUUCGAGCGACCCACGCUUCGUGCGAACGACUUCCGCAUGUGUGUGGAUGGGUCCUUGUGGCCCGUCUCAUGUGCUUGCGGCGUCCGUUGGGAA